CCUGAAACAGAGGAAAAAUUAGUUUUUCCAAAGCCUGUGUUUUUCAUCAUAGUGGAGUACAAAAUAUUUCCUUUUACCUUAGUCACAAUCCUGUAGUACAAAAUUUCCUGGGAUACAUUACACCAGGAGAUGACAAUUUUUCCAACACUGCACUGUAUGGACAGUGCUGUAUAAAACAUUACUGCGGCUUGUUUGCUCCCAUGCUCUAAAUCCAGAGCAGAGUUACAAAUAAGUCCCCACCUUAGUUGUUGCAGUCAUCAUCAUAGGUAUUAACCCCACAUCUGCAGUCUAUUACAAUUUCCAUUUCACACUGUUAUGUUCCAUACGAUCGGCAACAAGGAAGAAGCUGGUGGUAUCCAGCAGCACAUACAUGAUCCUGCAACGUGCAAUGCGAAAGGCCAGCCUACCAACAGUCAAGCGUACCAUCCUGCAUCUUGCUAAAGGGUACCUGAGGGAACCUGGUGGUGGCGGUGGCGAUAGGGGGCACGCCGGAGGCGACAAUAUGGGUGGCGAUGGCGACACGGGUGGCACUGCGCACUUGGCCAUGCCGAGUACACCACGGACGUUUUAUUCGCCGAUAACCUCACUGGCAACCAGGGAGCCAGCCGAUGUUACAUGGACCCCGAGCGCCUUCACACCUGCCUGCCGCCGCUGACGCCCGCCUCCACCGGCGGCUGCCCUCGAGCGCUGGGCGCG